CAAAAUUUGCUUGGAUGCUUUCCUGUGCAAACUGAUCACGGGAACCUGUUUUAGUAGAGGUUUGGACUAGAUGAUCUCCAGAGGUCCCUUUCAACCCCUCCAGCUCUGAUUCUGUCUCAUUGUCAACACUAUUAUCAACAUCAACGUGUCAUCUUCAAUCCGUGGGUCCUACUGGUGACCUGGGCAAGAGUGUGGGUGAGCAGGAUAUCACAGAUGCCCUGCUCCAGCCCCUCAGAGGUGACACCAUGGUGAUUAAGGCACAGAAGAAGGCAAGAGAGCUGCUUGAGGAGUGAUGGGGCCAUCAUGGAGUCCAGGAGUUUGAAGAGUUAUCAGCCUGGAUUCACUAAGGGGAAGUCAUGUUUGCCCUACGAUGCUUUUAUGAUGAAAUCUCCAGCCUCCUCCAAUGGAUGACAUGGGUUCUGUGAAUAUUGUCUUUCAGGCUGGAGACAUGGGCAGACAAAAAUCUCAUGAAGUUCACCAAGGAGAAAUUCAUAGUCCUGAACCUGAGAAGGAAAAAUCCCAGCACAUGAGGACAUGCAAGGGCACCCAACUGGAAGCAGAUGGCAGAAAAGAAUCAAAGGAGUCCUGGUGGACACCAAGUUAGUCAUGAGUUAGCAAUGUGCCUUUCUUGCUAAGAAGGCCAAUGACCUUAUUGGCUUUAUCAGGCAAAGUAUCACCAGCAGAUCAAGAGAGUUGAACCUUUCCUUCUCCACAGCAUUGGUGAGGCUGCAUCUGGUGUUCCGGGUCCACUUCUUGGCCCCCCAGUAGAAGAAAGACCUGGCCUCCAAGAUGAUGAAAGAAUUGGAACACCUCUCCUAUGAGGAGAAGCUGGGGGAAUUGGGACUGCCCAGGGUGCAUCUUACCAAUGUGUGUAAAUACCUAAAAGGAUACUGGAAAGAGGAUGGAGCCAGGAUAUUUUUAGAGGUGCACCAGGCCACAACAGGAGGCAAUGGGUACAGACUGGAACAAAAUAUUCUGUCUAAACAUCGGGAAGUAUUUCUUUACUGUGCAGGUGAGGGAGCACUAAAACAGGCUGCCCAGAGAGGCUGUGGAGCAGUGCUAUAGUCAUUAGUCUUAGGCAUUAAGGUGGGUUUACAUGGUAUUGCUGUCCAAGAGGUCCUCCAACGCCUCCUAGUGGAUAAACUACAAAAGGUGAAAGCUAGGGGAGAACCUCAGCUGAAGUAAAUGCAAUAGAAAAGAGACAACCUGCCUCUAUGCAAAGGGAAAGAGCAAAAUGAGGAAACUGGGGAGCACUGUCAGUCAAUGCUGAAUGUAAGAGAUGAUGGAAAAUGUUUACAUAAAUGCCUGUCUCCAAGUUACUUAAAUGGGCUGGCAACUUCUUUUGUACAGCAGCGAUACGCAGUUCCUUCAUUAUCUCUUCACAGUCCUGUGGGAUCUGCACCAGAGAAUGGGAGUAACACUGGGUGACUUAAAGUAAAGGCAGGAGAGCCAGAGAGUGUGAAAGAGAGGAUCCUGAAGAGAAAUCCAAACCUACAGUAUCUCUCACCCCCACUACAGUGCUCAUACUGCACUGGCUAAAUAGGUGAAAACAUUAAAAUUAUCAGAGGAGGUCGCUGUUGUGCAACCUGUGGACCACAUCCUCCUAGGUGACCUCUGUGCAGAACUUGCAAACACUCUGUGCACGAGGUCACAACACACCUGUAUUCCUUUGGGUCAGGGUUCUGCAGGGAAGGAAACAAGGAUCUGCUCAGGAAAAAAGUCUGGAGGGCAUCAGAUGGAAAGGUGGGAGAAAAACAGCCACCACUGAAGUACUAAAAGAAAUCCAGCAGGUACCCAAAUGUGAGAAUUAAACAGGAGUUACAUGCUGUGCAAAGGACAUUGGAGAUUCGGAAGGUACAAUGUUGUAGGUUCUAAUAUAACAUCUCAACCACUCUAUAACCCGGUAAAAAGAAAUGCAGUCCAGGAGUGGACCCCACAACACAGAGACUCAGGACUACAUCCGCAAGUGUGGGCACCUCACAAUUACUGCAUGUUGGCCUACUCAAAUCAUGGUGGUGCUCAAGAUGUUAUGCAUCUUCACCAGUUCUGAAAGGACACAGUACAAGCUCUCCUGGGCUCCAUGUAAUUUCCUUGGAUAUAUGUUAUUUUUUUAAAUCUUAUAUCACCAUCUCUUGCUCAGCUCAUGUGUAGCCACAUCUUGAGAAAGAGAUUCUUGGACAUCUAUGCCAAUUUUGCAAACCAAUAUUGCAUGCCAAUUUUGCUAUUACAGCGUAUUCAAUUCAAACACGUUAUACAGACAAGGGGACACAUUCACUUCUGUGUUAAGAGCCGGAUAGAGUGGACAGAGUGGAAUAGAGUGUGAAGAGCUGCCUCUGAGAAACAGCCACGAUCAGGUUGAGAGCUGGUAGGUGAAAAUCAGGGACCAGACCAAUAAAGGACAUCUGGUGGUCAGGGUCUACUACAGCUGCCUGAUCAGGGGAGCCUGUGGAUGAGGGU
ensembl:lncRNA